rnacentral:ncRNA from 1 species
CCUGCUGAGUUUAAGCAUAUCAAUAAGUGGAGGAAAAGAAACUUACUAGGAUUCCCCCAGUAACGGCGAGCGAACCGGGAAAAGCGCAGAUUAAGAAUCGGGCGCCACCAGCAUUCAAAUUGUAGUCUAGAGAAGCGUCCUCAGCAGCGGACCGGGCCCAAGUCCCCUGGAAAGGGGCACCGGAGAGGGUGAGAGCCCCGUCGUUCUCGGACCUAUCGCACCACGAGGCGCUGUCUAAGAGUCGGGUUGUUUGGGAAUGCAGCCCUAAUUGGGCUAUAAAUUCCGUCCAAGGCUAAAUACGGGCGAGAGACCGAUAGCGAACAAGUACCGGUGAUG